rnacentral:rRNA from 1 species
UGGUGGAGUGAUUUGUCUGGUUAAUUCCGAUAACGAACGAGACUCUGUCCUGCUAAAUAGGCCCGACCUUUUUUCUUUUCUAGCUUGUGGUAGCGUUGUUCGGUUUUGGGUUCGGUGGCUAAGGUUCGCCUUGUCGCGGCUCUUGCCUUGCAACGUCCCAGGCUGCGGGUCGGGGAGUUCUUCUUAGAGGGACUGGCGAUUGUUAGUCGCACGAGAUAGAGCAAUAACA